UACAGAGGUCUCAAGCGUUGUUCGGAUUCAUUGGGCGUAAAGGGUGCGUAGGCGGCGCGGUAAGUCGGGUGUGAAAUCUUGGAGCUUAACUCCGAAACUGCAUUCGAUACUGCCGUGCUUGAGGACUGGAGAGGAGACUGGAAUUUACGGUGUAGCGGUGAAAUGCGUAGAUAUCGUAAGGAAGACCAGUGGCGAAGGCGGGUCUCUGGACAGUUCCUGGCGCUGAGGCACGAAGGUCAGGGGAGCAAACGGG
rnacentral:rRNA from 1 species